rnacentral:rRNA from 1 species
AGCGAACGCUGGCGGCAGGCCUAACACAUGCAAGUCGAACGAAGUCUUCGGACUUAGUGGCGGACGGGUGAGUAACACGUGGGAACGUGCCUUUAGGUUCGGAAUAACUCAGGGAAACUUGUGCUAAUACCGAAUGUGCCCUUCGGGGGAAAGAUUUAUCGCCUUUAGAGCGGCCCGCGUCUGAUUAGCUAGUUGGGGAGGUAAAGGCUCACCAAGGCGACGAUCAGUAGCUGGUCUGAGAGGAUGAUCAGCCACAUUGGGACUGAGACACGGCCCAAACUCCUACGGAAGGCAGCAGUGGGGACUCUUGCGCAAUGGGCGAAAGCCUGACGCAGCCAUGCCGCGUGAAUGAUGAAGGUCUUAGGAUUGUAAAAUUCUUUCACCGAGGACGAUAAUGACGGUACCCGGAGAAGAAGCCCCGGCUAACUUCGUGCCAGCCGCCGCAGUAAAAC